rnacentral:rRNA from 1 species
AACGAACGCUGGCGGCAUGCCUAACACAUGCAAGUCGAACGAGACCUUCGGGUCUAGUGGCGCACGGGUGCGUAACGCGUGGGAACCUGCCCUUAGGUUCGGAAUAACUCCCCGAAAGGGGUGCUAAUACCGGAUAAUGUCUUCGGACCAAAGAUUUAUCGCCUUUGGAUGGGCCCGCGUUGGAUUAGCUAGUUGGUAGGGUAAAAGCCUACCAAGGCGACGAUCCAUAGCUGGUCUGAGAGGAUGAUCAGCCACACUUGGACUGAGACACGGCCCAGAAUCCUACGGGAGGGAGCAGUAGGGAAUAUUGGACGAGGGGCGAAAGCCUGAUACAGCCAUGCCGCGUGAGUGAUGAAGGCCUUAGGGUUGUAAAGCUCUUUUACCCGGGAUGAUAAUGACAGUACCGGGAGAAUAAGCUCCGGCUAACUACGUG